AGUAAUUACUCUAAAAUUUGAUAAGUACAAACCAGCUUUGAAAAGCUCCCGCUUAGGUACUUUCAAAAACAUCCCUAACUUUUAAAAGUCACAAACACAAGCACUUGAACUUUUUAAUUUACUAAACAUAAGAUGAGGAACACCUCUUGAAAAAACUUUGCCAAACUUAGCUUAUGUUGUUUGUUUGGAAGAAAAAAUGGAAGAAAAAAUGAGUUAAGUUAUAGAAUUAUGGAGUGGAACGAAUUUUUUUCUUCCGUUUUCUCGCUUAAGUUGGGGAGAAAAUUUGUUGGUGGCCCUUUCACUUUUUGACACUGUUGUAUAUUUUCCUUGACAUUUUCUUUCAAAAACAAACGGGAAAACUUCAUAAUUCCCUCCUAUUUCUUUUUUUCCGUGUUGGAACCUCCCUAUUUUCUAUCUAAACCAAUGUUCUGAAAAUCGGUUUGAACUGUCGAAUCGGGAACCGUUAACAAUACGGUUCGAACAAAAGGCAAAAUUGCUAAAUUUAAAAACCGUAGUUGAACCACUGAAUCGAAUGAGAACCAGUCGAUCAAACCGAACUGUGACCUAGCCGAUUUUUAAUAUUUUGCCAAAAACGCUGCGUUUUGCCCACAAAUCCAAAAAUGAACCCUAGCCUUCAGUUUUCAGUCUUCACCCAGCCCCCACUGUCGAGCCUCCACCCUCCAGCCCUCCACUCACCUCUCGCACUCAGUUCCCACGCCUCGAGUCUCCACCUUGAGCUUCCGGCGCAACCUCCGUCCAGCCACUGCAGCCGUCGCAAGUUCCUGGAGCCAGCUUGGAGAUUCGCACAGCCCUUUCCAUCGCGAAGUCAUCCGUGGAAAUCGCAGCCACCGCCACCACUCCUUGCCGUCGCGACUGUCUUCCUGCCGGUGCCAGCUCUGUUUUACCCUUCCACCCCAGUCACUGUCCCUGUCGCCGCCAGCUCUGCAUUCUUCCCUGUCUUCCACUAACCCUAGUUAGUUAGUGAGGACUAUUUCACACAAAAAAAUAUUAGUUGUUGAAGGACCUCACUGGAAAAUAAACUUGUGUGGCCAUUCAUUGACACAUUAUUGCACAGAGGAAAAUCCAUUGUUGAAGGAUCUCACAUGUUUGGUUCUUAGGGAAGAAGAUUUUGAAGAUAACAACUUCUUUAUGAGGAUUUGGCUGAAGAAGUUUUCUAAUAUUGUUUAAUUUUGAGUAGUAUUUGAUUGUUGUUAAUUUGAAACUGACUUGAAACAAUUGUAAGUAUUAUGUUAGCAUCAAUGACAUUGUUUAUAUGUUUAUAUCAUUAAUGUUACUCAUUGUUGAUUUCAUAGUGCAAAAAAUGUUCAUUUUUGUCUGAUUCUGUGUGCUAUAUUGGGCGUGUUCAGGUUUUUACAUGUGUUGGGCUUACAAUAAAAAAAAAAAUUUGUCACAUAUAAUAUAAUCAUUAUAGAGCAGGUCCAAGAAACCAAAAAAGAUCAUUAUAUAUAAUGUUUACAAGAAUGAAAAUUUCAAUUUGUGCAGAAUCUAUUACUCUGUUACAGUAAUGCAUUAUAUUUAGGAUGUUGUUUGUUGAGAUUAUUGGGUAGUGGGUUGCUGUGAUAUUGUGAUUGGAUUGUAUUGUUAUUGCUAUGUUGUGUCUGUUCUGAAACUGAUUAGUGAUUUUCUAAAUGUGAAAUCAAUCAAAAAAAUUGAUUUUGUGUUGUCGAAAUUAUUGCUAAAAUGGGUUUGUUACUCUACUGCUGUUUUUUAAUUUAUGAGGAUGCUAUUUUUGAAUUUUUUUUUAUAGAUUUAUUAAUUUCAGAGUUUAGGGUGAUUAUUUGUUGCUGUGUUUUAAUUUUAAACCAGAUUGAUGCUUUCAAAAAAUUAAGAAACCGCAAAUGUUCCAUGUUAUUGAUUUAGAGCAAGGAAAUCAUGAAGAUGAUGCUGUUGUUGGAGGUCCUGGGAGUGAUGUUGAUGAUGGUAGUGUAUUUCUCUUAUGCAGAAGUCGGUGGUUCAAGACACUCUCAUUUCUAAUUUUUUUACUUCAUUGUUUAACUGCAAAAUUUGGUUUUUGAUGCUUUUUAAUGUUGAAUUUGAUUGAUUCUGUGAAUAUUUAGACACCCUUUUGUUUAUGAUUCAUGGAAUUGAGAAUUGGAAUGUUUGGUACUACUCUAUAUGUAUACUUGUUCUAUGUCUUGGUGCUGAGUCUCACAAAUAUUCUCAAUUACUUAGAGCUAUGGUUUCCUUUUUGAAUGGAAUUUUAUUUUUUCAAAAGAAAUUAUAGAGGAUUAGGAUUGUGGAUUCUUUAAUUGAGUGAUGAAUGUAAAGCUGAAGAUGAUGAUGACAAAAGUGCUUGGAAACAUAUAUUUUAAGAGAGUUUAAAAAAACUUGAGUUUAUAAAUUGAUAAGAUCAUAUAGUUUUGGUGUGUUUAUUUAUAUUUUAUUUAUUAUUUUAUUAUAAAACGAUUUUUUCGAUUCAAUCACGGUCAAAUCGAUUGAACUUGUAAACUAAUAAACCAGUAACUAGAAUGGUUCGAUGACCGGUUCGGUUUUCAAAACCUUGAUCUAAACAAACACAGUGUGAAUGAAAGAAAGAGAGGAAGAAAGGGAAAAAGAAACGGAGGUUUUCGUGGAAACCGGCCAGGUUCUGGUUCAGCCCGACCAGCCAAUUUUUAUCAACGGUUUUACAUGUCUAAUUAAACUGUUAAUAUUAUCGGUUCGUAGUUAGACCAGUUUAACUGAUCAAUUCGGUCCGAUUUUUAGAACAAUGCAAAAAUUAGAAAUAAGAAAUCAUAACAAAGCCAUUUUCAUCAAUAAUCUCAAGUUUUCAACAAUGAUAUUGAAAUCAGAAAUCAAAAAUCAUAACAAAGCCAUUUUCAUCAAUAAUUUCAUAAAUCAAUAACAAAAAUUAAAACACAAUAACAAAUAAUCACCUUAAAAAACAGCAGCAGCAGUAGCAUAACAACAAAAAAUCAAUAAUUUCACAUUCAAAAAUCAAGAAUAAUCAGCAACAAAAAUUAAAAAAUAGCAGCAACAGCAUAACAAUACAAAAUCAAUGAUUUUACAUUCACAAAUCAAGAACAAUCAGCAACAAAAAUUAAAAAACAGCGGCAUAACAACACAAAAUCAAUGAUU